AGUUUUAUAGUUUAAUAAAAAUAUUAAUUUUGUAAAUUAGAGUUAAUUCAUAGUUAGUUUAAAACUA
rnacentral:tRNA from 1 species